UUCGGGUGAGCGGCGGACGGGUGAGUAACGCGUGGGAAUAUGCCCUUCUCUACGGAAUAGCCUCGGGAAACUGAGAGUAAUACCGUAUACGCCCUUCGGGGGAAAGAUUUAUCGGAGAAGGAUUAGCCCGCGUUGGAUUAGGUAGUUGGUGGGGUAAUGGCCUACCAAGCCGACGAUCCAUAGCUGGUUUGAGAGGAUGAUCAGCCACACUGGGACUGAGACACGGCCCAGACUCCUACGGGAGGCAGCAGUGGGGAAUCUUAGACAAUGGGGGAAACCCUGAUCUAGCCAUGCCGCGUGAGUGACGAAGGCCCUAGGGUCGUAAAGCUCUUUCGCCAGGGAAGAUAAUGACGGUACCUGGUAAAGAAGUCCCGGCUAACUCCGUGCCAGCAGCCGCGGUAAUACGGAGGGGACUAGCGUUGUUCGGAAUUACUGGGCGUAAAGCGCGCGUAGGCGGAUUGGAAAGUAUGGGGUGAAAUCCCAGGGCUCAACCCUGGAAC
rnacentral:rRNA from 1 species